rnacentral:rRNA from 1 species
GACGAACGCUGGCGGCGUGCCUAAUACAUGCAAGUCGAGCGCUGAAGGGUGGUACUUGUCCCAACUGGAUGAGCAGCGAACGGGUGAGUAACGCGUGGGUAACCUGCCUUUGAGCGGGGGAUAACAUUUGGAAACGAAAGCUAAUACCGCAUAAAAACUUUAAACACAAGUUUCAAGUUUGAAAGAUGCAAUUGCAUCACCUAAAGCUGAUCCCCCGUUGUAUUUGGUAGUUGGCUAGGUAAAGGCCCACCAAGGCGAAGAUACAUAGCCGGCCCUGAGAGGUGGAUCGCCCAAAUGGGAACUGAGACACGGUCAAGCCUCCUACGGGAGCAACAAGAGGGGAACUUUGGGCAAGGGGCGAAGGCUUGACGAAGAAAGGCCGGGUGGUGGAGGAAGGUCUCCGGUCGGUAAAAUCCGUUGAUAGGGGAGGACGUUGGGGAGAGUGAAAAGUUCAUCAAGUGACGGUAACUACCCAGAAAGCGACGGCUAACUACGUG